rnacentral:misc_RNA from 1 species
AGUCACACAAAUAUCAGAUAAUUUAGUUAUUAUUAUGAUGCAAAUUUUGAGAUCUGGAUUUCUUUUACAUAGCAUUUACACAGUUAAAAUAACAUUUUUAAUUGAAAUAAUUUAUUAUACUUACAGGAUAUUAGAAAAUUUGUCCAGUCAUUCUUAUUUCAUUCCAAAACAUAAUAUUUUGCAUAUUUUUUAUUGCAUAUGCAAUCCUAAAUAAGUGUUUUGUAUUAUGGAUAAUUUUAUUUUCUGUAGGGCUUAAGACUUCAUUAUUACAUAUCAAAU